UACCAGCGGGCCUAGCAUGACCGCCAUAGAAACAGCUUUUGUCUACCGAAGAAUCGACAAAAUGACAGAUUGAAGAAAGAUUUCUAUCGAUCCGAGCAUGGCGAUGUUUGACAUCGAGAAAAGAAAUGUUUCUUUUCUUCGUCGACAUGUGUCUAUCGCGUCGAGCAUGACGACUAUAUUUUCUCUACUUUUGACAUUUGGGAGUAGAUAUAACUUUCUAUAUGAAAUGUCAAAUACUCUACAUCUCAUCGGACCUAGACAAGAGUAGACAAGAAUAUUAUUAUAAUUUUAAGAUCUCAAAAAGCAUUUACAAAGUAUUUCGGGGUCCUACCGUCGUCAUGUGGUCAGUUUUUAUGCUGAGAAGAAUCAGUGUAAAGCUCAAAGAACGAGCUAUACGAGUGUUAAGCCUCUCGACAUUGAAAACGUAAAUGUGCAGAGAUGGUGCAGUAUUUGUGCCAGGAAUCUGUCUCCUAGGAUAUCUCAGGGUCUGCCUGUUCAUAUCAAUGUUCUUUGUUCGGGUCCUGCUUAGGUCAUUAACAACAUUACUAACCACUGUUAGCAAAUUUUUUAAGCAAUUUGUUUGGCAGUGAAUACAAGGGUGCCUAUGCUACAACUCUUCCCGAAGAAAGGCAGAGAGAGAGACACACAAAUGACCUUAGCGGUAGCUUACUACAAGCUGCAACUCACAGAAGAGCAACUAUUAUGAAUAUCUUUGUAUAUUAACAGUUCUUCAAACCAUACAGACAGAAUUGAGUUGCUGGGGAGUUAGUUCCACCGCUUCUGCUGCUGAUUUUCAGCCUAUUUUGAAUAAAUGACUUUAUCUGUAGCCUUAAUUUUAUGUAAAUAAACCUUUACCUCUGUGUAAAUGAUUGUCUCAUUUUAUUUUUUAUCUUAAGAGUUG